CCCGUCUCCUUUGGGGAGUAGCCGCCUUCGCUGCAGAAGGGGGCGCGUCAACAGACUUGAUCCUGCGGGAUCGUGGCGCGUCCGGCCGGUUCGGCUUGGCAAGACCUUGGGAUACGGGUUCCGUCCGGCC
rnacentral:sRNA from 2 species